rnacentral:rRNA from 1 species
UACAGAGGUCUCAAGCGUUGUUCGGAUUCAUUGGGCGUAAAGGGUGUGUAGGUGGCGCCGUAAGUCGGGUGUGAAAUCUCGGGGCUUAACUCCGAAACUGCAUUCGAUACUGCCGUGCUUGAGGACUGGAGAGGAGACUGGAAUUUACGGUGUAGCGGUGAAAUGCGUAGAUAUCGUAAGGAAGACCAGUUGCGAAGGCGGCUCUCUGGACCAGCACUGACACUGAGGCACGAAAGCGUGGGGGAGCAAACAGG